UGGCGACCGGCGCACGGGUGAGUAACACGUAUCCAACCUGCCGUCUACUCUUGGACAGCCUUCUGAAAGGAAGAUUAAUACAAGAUGGCAUCAUGAGUCCGCAUGUUCACAUGAUUAAAGGUAUUCCGGUAGACGAUGGGGAUGCGUUCCAUUAGAUAGUAGGCGGGGUAACGGCCCACCUAGUCUUCGAUGGAUAGGGGUUCUGAGAGGAAGGUCCCCCACAUUGGAACUGAGACACGGUCCAAACUCCUACGGGAGGCAGCAGUGAGGAAUAUUGGUCAAUGGGCGCAGGCCUGAACCAGCCAAGUAGCGUGAAGGAUGACUGCCCUAUGGGUUGUAAACUUCUUUUAUAAAGGAAUAAAGUCGGGUAUGUAUACCCGUUUGCAUGUACUUUAUGAAUAAGGAUCGGCUAACUCCGUGCCAGCAGCCGCGGUAAUACGGAGGAUCCGAGCGUUAUCCGGAUUUAUUGGGUUUAAAGGGAGCGUAGAUGGAUGUUUAAGUCAGUUGUGAAAGUUUGCGGCUCAACCGUAAAAUUGCAGUUGAUACUGGAUAUCUUGAGUGCAGUUGAGGCAGGCGGAAUUCGUGGUGUAGCGGUGAAAUGCUUAGAUAUCACGAAGAACUCCGAUUGCGAAGGCAGCCUGCUA
rnacentral:rRNA from 1 species